rnacentral:rRNA from 1 species
AAUCAACGCUGGCGGCGUGCCUCAGACAUGCAAGUCGAACGAUUAAAGCUCUCUUCGGAGAGUGUAUAGAGUGGCGCACGGGUGAGUAACACGUAAGUAAUCUACCUUUGAGUGGGAUAACAGUCGGAAACGACUGCUAAUACCGCAUAAUGCAGCGGCACCGCAAGGUGACAGUUGUUAAAGGAGCAAUUCGCUUAAAGAGGAGCUUGCGGCAGAUUAGCUUGUUGGUAAGGUAACGGCUUACCAAGGCUACGAUCUGUAUCCGGUCUUAGAGGACGGUCGGACACACUGACACUGAAUAACGGGUCAGACUCCUACGGGAGGCAGCAGUCGGGAAUUUUGGGCAAUGGGCGAAAGCCUGACCCAGCAACGCCGCGUGAAGGAUGAAGUAUUU